AAUCUUGCGCAAUGGGCGAAAGCCUGACGCAGCCAUGCCGCUUGAAUGAUGAAGGUCUUAGGUUUUUAAAAUUCUUUCACCGGGGACGAUAAUGACGUUACCCGGAGAAGCAGCCCCGGCGAACUCCGUGCCAGCAGCCGCGGUAAUACGCAGGGGGCUAGCGUUGCCCGAAAUUACUGGGCGUAAAGGGCGGGUAGGCGGAAAUUUAAGCGAGGGGUGAAAGCCCGGGGCUGAACUAUGGAACUGCCUUUGAUACUGGGUGUCUUGAGUGUGAGAGAGGUAUGUGGAACUCCGAGUGUAGAGGUGAAAUUCGUAGAUAUUCGGAAGAACACCAGUGGCGAAGGCGACAUACUGGCUCAUUACUGACGCUGAGGCGCGAAAGCGUGGGGAGCAAACA
rnacentral:rRNA from 1 species